rnacentral:lncRNA from 1 species
UUCGAUCGUGUAUUCUGUCAAAGUUAAGAAGAUCAGAUAGAGUGAGAAAGAGUUAGUGGAGUGGUUUUUAUGUUGUGGUUCGCAUAGGAUGCGAGAUUGUCCAGAGUGAUCCAAAAUAUCCACGAAUAGUAAAAGAGAUGAAGUGGAGUCAGAGAGUGAGGCUUUGAAGCUUGAGUCAAUGAUACUCAAUUAUGCAAAAG